rnacentral:snRNA from 1 species
ACACUUACCUGGCAUGGGAAACACCAUGAUCAUGAAAGUGGCUUUUCCAGGGCGAGGCUCAUCCAUUUGCCUGCAGGUGUGUUGACCCCUGUGGUUUCCCCAAAUGUAGGAAAUGCAACCACAGGCCAUAC